GACGAACGCUGGCGGCGUGCUUAACACAUGCAAGUCGAACGGAAAGGCCCUGCUUUUGUGGGGUGCUCGAGUGGCGAACGGAUGAGUAACACGUGAGUAACCUGCCCUUGACUUUGGGAUAACUUCAGGAAACUGGGGCUAAUACCGGAUAGGAGCUCCUGCUGCAUGGUGGGGGUUGGAAAGUUUCGGCGGUUGGGGAUGGACCCGCGGCUUAUCAGCUUGUUGGUGGGGUAGUGGCUUACCAAGGCUUUGACGGGUAGCCGGCCUGAGAGGGUGACCGGCCACAUUGGGACUGAGAUACGGCCCAGACUCCUACGGGAGGCAGCAGUGGGGAAUAUUGCACAAUGGGCGGAAGCCUGAUGCAGCAACGCCGCGUGCGGGAUGACGGCCUUCGGGUUGUAAACCGCUUUCGCCUGUGACGAAGCGUGAGUGACGGUAAUGGGUAAAGAAGCACCGGCUAACUACGUG
rnacentral:rRNA from 1 species